rnacentral:rRNA from 1 species
AUUGAACGCUGGCGGCACGCCUAACACAUGCAAGUCGAGCGGCAGCGCGAUAUGUAGCAAUACAUAUUGGCGGCGAGCGGCGGACGGGUGAGGAACACGUAGGAACCUACCCUCGAGUGGGGGAUAACCAAGGGAAACUUUGGCUAAUACCGCAUGAUUUCGAGAGAGCAAAGCUGCCGCAAGGUGGCGCUCGAGGAGGGGCCUGCGUCCGAUUAGCUAGUUGGUGAGGUAAGAGCUCACCAAGGCGAUGAUCGGUAACUGGUCUGAGAGGACGACCAGACACACUGGGACUGAGACACGGCCCAGACUCCUACGGGAGGCAGCAGUGGGGAAUAUUGGACAAUGGGGGCAACCCUGAUCCAGCGAUGCCGCGUGAGUGAAGAAGGCCUUCGGGUCGUAAAGCUCUUUAGGUUGGGAAGAAGAGUGAUGGAGGAAAUGCUAUCACUUUGACGGUACCGACAGAAUGAGCACCGGCAAACUCUGUGCCAGCAGCCGCCGUAAAAC